GACGAACGCUGGCGGCGUGCUUAACACAUGCAAGUCGAACGAAGUGGCGAACGGGUGAGUAACGCGUAAUCAACCUGCCCUUCAGAGGGGGACAACAGUUGGAAACGACUGCUAAUACCGCAUACGGAAGGUGGGGAUUGCGUGUGAUUGGCUGGUUGGAGGGGUAACGGCCAACCAAGGCGAUGAUCAGUAGCCGGGUCGAGAGACGGAACGGCCACAUUGGAGCUUGUAAACGGCCCAGGAUCCUACGGGAGGCAGCAGUGGGGGAUCUUCCGGAAUUGACGAAAGUCUGACGGAGCAACUCCGCGUGAGUGAUGACGGCCUUUGGGUUGUAAAGCUCUGUUAAUCGGGACGCGGUACCGGAAUAGAAAGCCACGGCUAACGACGUGCCAGCAGCCGCGGUAAUUC
rnacentral:rRNA from 1 species